rnacentral:ncRNA from 1 species
AACGGAGAAGCUGAAAACCGAAUAGAGUAAGCA